rnacentral:rRNA from 1 species
AACGAACGCUGGCGGCAGGCCUAACACAUGCAAGUCGAACGCUCCGCAAGGGGAGUGGCGCACGGGUGAGUAACACGUGGGAAUCUACCUUAUAGUAUGGGAUAACAGUUGGAAACGACUGCUAAUACAAUAUACGCCCUGCGGGGGAAAGAUUUAUCGCUAUAAGAUGAGCCCGCCUCUGAUUAGUUUGUUGGUGGGGUAAUGGCCUACCAAGACUACAAUCAGUAGCUGGGCUGAGAGGAUGAUCAGCCACACUGGGACUGAGACACGGCCCAGACUCCUACGGGAGGCAGCAGUGGGGAAUAUUGGACAAUGGGCGCAAGCUUGAUCCAGCCAUGCCGCGUGAGUGAUGAAGGCCUUAGGGUUGUAAAGCUCUUUCGCCGCUGAAGAUAAUGACGGUAAGCUGAAAAGAAGCCCCGGCUAACUUCGUGCCAGCAGCCGCCGUAACAC